GGGUCGGUAGCUCAGUUGGUUAGAGCAGCGGACUUUUAAUCCGUUGGUCGAGGGUUCGAGUCCCUCCCGACCCA
rnacentral:tRNA from 1 species